GCGGCAGGCCUAACACAUGCAAGUCGAACGCUGUAGCAAUACAGAGUGGCAGACGGGUGAGUAACGCGUGGGAACAUGCCCUUCGGUUCGGAAUAACUCAGGGAAACUUGAGCUAAUACCGGAUACGCCCUUAGGGGGAAAGAUUUAUUGCCGAAGGAUUGGCCCGCGUCCGAUUAGCUAGUUGGUGAGGUAAUGGCUCACCAAGGCGACGAUCGGUAGCUGGUCUGAGAGGAUGAUCAGCCACACUGGGACUGAGACACGGCCCAGACUCCUACGGGAGGCAGCAGUGGGGAAUAUUGGACAAUGGGCGCAAGCCUGAUCCAGCCAUGCCGCGUGAGUGAUGAAGGCCCUAGGGUUGUAAAGCUCUUUCGCCAGGGACGAUAAUGACGGUACCUGGAUAAGAAGCCCCGGCUAACUUCGUGCCA
rnacentral:rRNA from 1 species